GGAAAUCUUGUCUGUUUUGGUCCAUCACCUAAAGUAGAAACUACCUAGCCCAGGAGCUGUUAUUCUGCGUUACACAGAAUGUUGACAAUAUCCUGGAGACACCAGAAUGUUUUUGAAGAUAGCGGCAAUUUUGGAAAACAGAGCUACUUCUCAUUCAUCCCCUUUUCUCUGAAAAUGGCACAUGUCAAAGAAACAACGCAGCGGUCCAGCCCAACUGGAAGACUGGUGCAGAAUGCCGUGUCCAAGGGGCUAACUGGCAUAGCCUGCUCAGAUGAGCAGUGACAAUGGAGUUCAGGGACUCGGAGGAACCUUGAGCCAAAGUGGUUAAACAGCAUUGACUUCCCACACCAUAAGGCCAGUGACCAAUAUGCAGAAAAGCGUCCGGAAUGUCCACCUCUGGUUCCCACUCCUGCCUCCCACCUCUGGUUCCCACUCCUGCCUCCCACCCCUGGUUCCCACUCCUGCCUCCCACCCCUGCCUCCCACCCCUGGUUCCCACUCCUGCAUUCCACUCACAGGAGGAAUUUAAUAGGAGCCUGAGACACCUGCAUCUGCCUGUGGGGAAUCUGCUCUAUGAGUGUGUUAAUGCUGAACCGACAAUAACAUCACAGCCAGUAGCAUCCCAGGUAAAAUUGGACGGAAAGGAAUAUUUAUUUAUGGCUGUACCAUUUUCAAUGUAUUUGAAGAUAAUGAGCUCCCAGUGGCUGGAAGAAUGUGGAUACUCUGUGGACCACAGAGGCACUGAUGUCAGUGUUGAAGAGCCAUGGUUAUCAGCAAGCCCUGGUGGAAUACUGAAAUCCAAGGAGUUGUUGAAGAUCAAGUGUCCUGUCAUGGGGUAGAGGCUGUGAUUUUCUGGAUGAUGUCUUCAAUAGGAAAGUGAUGUGAAGGUGAUGGAGGACUACACCUCGACUGCAACCACAUGGGCCACGUGGCUACAACAUGCAGGUACAAAUUGGUCUGUUUCGCACAGGACUGAGAGAAAGUAAGGUGUUCAUCUGGACUGCAUCCCAGCAAGUUGUCAUCCCUGUUCCCUAUGAUACACAGUCCUGUGCAGAGGCUGUCCUGAGGUUGAAGGCAUUCUACUCAACACACAUGCUGACAUUUAUUGUUGAGGAGCAUCAGGCAGAUUGUCACUGAGUGACAAAUAUAUAUAUGCAGC
ensembl:lncRNA